GACGAACGCUGGCGGCGCGCUUAACACAUGCAAGUCGAACGGAAAGGCCUGCUUUCCCUUGUGGAUUGCGGGUACUCGAGUGGCGAACGGGUGAGUAACACGUGAGUGAUCUGCCCCCAACUUGGGUAUAAGCCUGGGAAACUGGGUCUAAUUCCCGAUAGGACUGCAGGGUGGUGCCUGUGGUGGAAAACGAUCUUCUAGUGGUUGGGGAUGCGCUCGCGGCCUAUCAGGUUGUUGGUGGGGUAAUGGCCUACCACGGCGGGGACGGGUCGCCGGCCUGGGAGGGGCGACGGCGACAGUGGGACUGAGUCACGGCCCAGACUCCUACGGGAGGCAGGAGUGGGGAAGAUUACACAAUGAGCGGAAGCCUGAUGCAGCGACGCCGCGUGGGGGAUGACGGCCUUCUGGUUGUAAGCUCCUUGCGACCGCGAGGAAGCCACCUGGUUGGAAGGGUGGUGACGGUAGUGGUAGAAGAAGCACCGGCUAACUACGUG
rnacentral:rRNA from 1 species